rnacentral:ncRNA from 1 species
CGUUGAAAAAGGCAAACCUCGGGAAACCGGGGGACGCAAAGUCACGAGGCUAAGGUCUCAUUUGAGACUAUGCCGGUCGGGCCGCCAAU